rfam:Gossypium hirsutum cultivar TM-1 chromosome 10, whole genome shotgun sequence
AACCCAUGGUGAGGGCACCUUCUUAAUAGGUCCUUGUAUCUUUCCUAUGCAUCAUACAGGGUUUCUAGAUCCAUCUGCACAAAAAGAAGAGAUAUCAUUCCUCAAUUU